ensembl:misc_RNA Y_RNA Y RNA
GGUUGGUCCGAGUGCAGUGGUGUUUACAACUAAUUGAUCACAACCAGUUACAGAUUCCUUUGUUCCUUCUCCACUCCCACUGCUCCACUUAACCAGCCUUAA